GUGCUCGCUUCAGGAGCUCAUGUAUCAAAAUUAAACGGUACAGAGAUGGUUAGCAUAGCCCCUGCGGAAGGAUGAUACACAAAUUCGCAAAGCGUUCCAUACUUUU
ensembl:snRNA U6 U6 spliceosomal RNA